rnacentral:rRNA from 1 species
AUUGAACGCUGGCGGCAGGCUUAACACAUGCAAGUCGAGCGGGGGAAGGUAGCUUGCUACCGGACCUAGCGGCGGACGGGUGAGUAAUGCUUAGGAAUCUGCCUAUUAGUGGGGGACAACAUCUCGAAAGGGAUGCUAAUACCGCAUACGUCCUACGGGAGAAAGCAGGGGAUCACUUGUGACCUUGCGCUAAUAGAUGAGCCUAAGUCGGAUUAGCUAGUUGGUGGGGUAAAGGCCUACCAAGGCGACGAUCUGUAGCGGGUCUGAGAGGAUGAUCAGCCACACUGGGACUGAGACACGGCCCAGACUCCUACGGGAGGCAGCAGUAGGGAAUAUUGGACAAUGGGGGGAACCCUGAUCCAUCCAUGCCGCGUGUGUGAAGAAGGCCUUAUGGUUGUAAAGCACUUUAAGCGAGGAGGAGGCUCUUUUGGUUAAUACCCAAGAUGAGUGGACGUUACUCGCAGAAUAAGCACCGGCUAACUCUGUGCCAGCAGCCGCGGUAA